rnacentral:rRNA from 1 species
GAUGAACGCUGGCGGCGUGCCUAAUACAUGCAAGUCGAGCGAACGGACGAGAAGCUUGCUUCUCUGAUGUUAGCGGCGGACGGGUGAGUAACACGUGGAUAACCUACCUAUAAGACUGGGAUCACUUCGGGAAACCGUAGCUAAUACCGGAUAAUAUUUUGAACCGCAUGGUUCAAAAGUGAAAGACGGUCUUGCUGUCACUUAUAGAUGGAUCCGCGCUGCAUUAGCUAGUUGGUAAGGUAACGGCUUACCAAGGCAACGAUGCAUAGCCGACCUGAGAGGGUGAUCGGCCACACGGGAACUGAGACACGGUCCAGACUCCUACGGGAGGCAGCAGUAGGGAAUCUUCCGCAAUGGGCGGAAGCCUGGCGGAGCAACGCCGCGUGAGUGAUGAAGGUCUUCGGAUCGUAAAAAUCUGUUAUGAGGGAAGAACAUAUGUGUAAGUAACUGUGCACAUCGUGACGGUACCUAAUCAGAAAGCCACGGCUAACUACGUG